GGGUCAUAAAGCAGUUCCAUUUUUAAUUAUUUGAGGAAACUCUAUACUGUUUUCCACAGUGGCUGUACUGAUCUGCAUUCUACCAACAGUGCAUAUUGGUUCCCUUUUCUCCA